GUAAAGCGUGAUUGGUGAUCAGUUGACAUCAUGAGCGUGACAAGUAAAGCAAUCCUUGGAUAUUGGGAUUGUCGUGGGUUGUGCCAUGCCAGUCGGUUGGUGUUGGAAUAUGCUCAAGUUAGCUAUGAGUUCCGUCCAGCUCAAAGCGGACCGGGGCCUUUGUAUGCUAAAAAAGUUUGGUUGGACAAGAAGUUUGAAGUCUUGAGCGAAUUCGACUUUCCCAAUCUGCCUUAUUAUCAAGAUGAGAACGUGAAACUCACUCAGUCCAUGGCCAUUCUUCAGUAUCUGGGACGGAGAUAUGGCUUGGCUGCGGAGAAUGAAAAGGCCCAGAUUCAUUUGGAUUUGUUCCGCGAACAAAUCAAUGAAUUGUUUGGUGCGCUUACAAGCUAUGUCUACUUUGGGGAUCAUAUUGGAAAGGGUACCAAACCGUCGGCCGAAGAGAAGAAUGUGUCUAGGGAAGCCUUCUUAAAGAAAUGCAACGCUGACCUCCCACUUUUAGAGAAGAAAAAAUCCAAAAUACCUGGACCUUGGCUAACCGGUGACAAACUCACUUACGUGGAUUUCCAUUUUUACGAAGCCUUGGAUCAUAUUCGUAAAUUGGUACCGGGGAUCCUGAAUAAGUGUCCCCAUCUUUCGAAGGUGAUGGACCAAUUCGAGAAGCUCCCCUUCAUUCAAGAUUACCUUGGAUCCGAUCGAUUCAGGCCUUUCCCAUUAUGGAGCGAAAGAUCCAGCAUUGGAUUGAAAGAGGGCGAUUACGAGACGUAAUGUGAUUCUCAAAGUGGAUCUAAUCGCAGUCAAGACCCUGUUUCAGGCGUCAGACAAGAAUACAGAAAUACCGGAUUUUCAGGAAGC